UCUUGUCCCUUCAAUUUAUUACACUUAAACAAAUAUGCUUCUCUGAAAAAAAUCCAUGUAAGAUGAGGGACACGUAAAACAAGUAUUUUUCUUACACAUACCCACACUGCUUAGACUUAAUGGGUGUCUGGAGAUUGGAACCAACAGAAAAACGCAGUCAGAUGUCAUCUUGGACUUGGAUCCUGAAAGACUAAGGCACGUCCCAGCCCAGAAACUUACGAGGCGUGAAAUGAAUCAAACAUUUAUUUUCCUUCUUAUUUAAAAUUAGGAAAAUGCAACAGAAAUAGAGGGUUUGUGCCAAAUUCUGUGAACGGCCCUUUCUUAAAAACAAGCAAGGGAGAUUGAAAGAUGGACAAUUUGCUCUCGUGUUUUAAACAAAAGAAAAAGGCAAAUGUAACUUAAUAGUUUUGUAAAUGGGAGAAGGGGAAUCUAUAAACUAUAAAUACAGUUAUUUUAUUUUUUGUACAUUUUUAAGAGAAAAAAAUAAAUAUUCAUAACGUCAGAGUAAAUGACAGUGUCUGGUGCUUUCUGUGAGGUGGGUGUUGGGGCUUCUUUGCCUUGUUGGAAAGAAGCCGCAGUGUGGCCUUGGGAAGAUUCUAGGCCCCCUUUGGACACCUUCGGGUCCUAGACUUCAACACAGCAGGCACGUCCUCUGCCUUGUGCUCCACCCCAUGGUUACAGGAGAAGGAGGCUGAAGAAAUCAAGACGCCUUCACUGUGCCGCGAUGGGCCACCAGGGUGGUUAUUCUUGGCCGGCUCCUCAAGGCAGGGAGAGUAGGUCCUGUCCACACGCUUUUACCUUCCUCACCGCCUCGCUCACGCUCAUCCCCAUGUAAGUUAUCACAGGAACUUUCUGGCUCUUUAGUUCAUUUGCACCAGCCCCUACAGAGGCUGAAACCACAUGGCUAAAACUCCAGUUCCAUCAUGAUGGUCUCUUGCCCCCAAACUCCCAGGUCACUAGGAUCUGUCAGCUCAGAGGCAAACAGCCGGACUCAGGAUUCCAGUGUUCGUUAGCGCUUCCUCUGCCUGCCUCCCCGCUGGGCCACCAUGCUGUUCAGCCGUCAUCCACGCUCAACUCCAGAGAGCCUCUGAACAAGCAGCAUUUCUUUCUUUCUUUCACAGUAAGUGAAAUAGACACACCCUAGAUACCCGAAUAUAUGUUUUAAGCGCAAAUGUU
rnacentral:lncRNA from 1 species